UGCCGGCCAUGGCUCGGGCGGGCCUCGGCUGGGGCGGGGGACCCCCGACGUGGAGGCGGAGGGGGGGGGACGUGGGCUGCCGUGGGCCCGGAGCCCCACAGCACGGGCAGGAGCGGCGGCAGCGCCGGCCUCAUCCAGCGGCGGCGGCGGCGCAGCGCCGGCCCGACCCCGACCCCAACAGGGCCCCCGCGUGCACCGGGCUGCGUGCCCCUCCCCCUCCCGCUGUUCCCCCCUCGCCCCCCCCCCACCUCGUGCCCAAUUCCCUCUCCUGAGCAAGAGAAGUUGGGCGGGGGUGGCUGCUUCGGAGACCGGCCCCUCCCCCCACCCGUAGGCCCUCAAGGACGCCCUUCCCCCCACCAGGAGGAGGGGUCUGCUUUCACAGAUGCCCCCUCGUCUUCCCUCUUUGGCAGGGCGGGGGUCUUCCCGGGAUUCAGGUCCUGCCGAGGUUCCUCCCUCCCCUCCCCCAGACCUCAUGGUUUCCUCUCCUGGAAGGCCCUGCAAAGGGCUCCGGGUUGCAGCAAACCACCUCCCUUUGCAGAUGAGAAAACCCCAUCCGAGAGCUGGAAGGGUCCUCACGGGGCCGGCCCAGGAAACUGAGGCCCGGAGAGCUUAAAAUACUGGUCCAAGGUCACCCAAUGGCAGAGCCUACCACUUGAGAUGAGGUAUUCCAAGUCAAGUCAUUCCGCUUUAACAGAUGGGGAAACUGAGCCGAGGCAGAUCAAGUGUCCCAACUCACAAUGGCUCCAAACUGGCAAACCAGGAUUUAAAUCAGACCUCUCUCCGAAAUAAGAAAAUCCGUUCUCGACUCUCCCGCCCCCUCUGUUCCCUUUCAGUUCUGUGCCCCUCGGAUCAAAGCCAGGGAUUUCGUCCCGCAGGACGUGGGCACAAAGCGAUAGUCACAAAUUCUAGCACG